rnacentral:rRNA from 1 species
AGCGAACGCUGGCGGCAGGCUUAACACAUGCAAGUCGAGCGGGCACUUUCGGGUGUCAGCGGCGGACGGGUGAGUAACGCGUGGGAACGUGCCCUCUGGUUCGGAAUAACUCAGGGAAACUUGAGCUAAUACCGGAUACGCCCUUUUGGGGAAAGGCUUGCUGCCGGAGGAUCGGCCCGCGUCUGAUUAGCUAGUUGGUGAGGUAACGGCUCACCAAGGCGACGAUCAGUAGCUGGUCUGAGAGGAUGAUCAGCCACACUGGGACUGAGACACGGCCCAGACUCCUACGGGAGGCAGCAGUGGGGAAUAUUGGGCAAUGGGCGCAAGCCUGAUCCAGCCAUGCCGCGUGAGUGAUGAAGGCCUUAGGGUUGUAAAGCUCUUUUAUCCGGGACGAUAAUGACGGUACCGGAGGAAAAAGCCCCGGCUAACUUCGUG